CUGAAAGGUUGGGGGGGAGGGGGGGGGGAGCGGACGGGGGGAAAGAAACCCGCUGCCGAACGAAACCACUCCUUUCCGCCGCCGCCUCUUCCUUCGCCUUUCCUUCCCCCCCUCUUUCUCUCUGCCGCCUCUCUCAACCGCCAACCGCUUCCGAUGGCCGAGGAUGCCGAGAGAAUGGCGGCGCUGAAGCGGGCAUUUGCGGAUGUUAUCUUGAACACGGCGAAGGAGUCGGCGGUUCGGAUUCUGGCCUCGGAGCGGAGGGUGCUCCAGCUUCAGCAGAGUCUGUCGCUUGCCAGGGAAGAGUCACUGGACAUGCUUCUCCGAUUGAAGUCCAUCAUGGACUCCAAGAUUAAUGAAUCGGAAAAGUCCAAUCUAUCUCAGGUAAGGAAAAUUCAAAAACUUGAAGUUCAACUCGGUGAAGCAAAGGGUACAAUAAAUUUUCUUAGAUCUGAACUGAAGAGAUUGAAUUCUGAAUUGGAUCAAAGGAUGGAUAUUCAAGCUGAGUUUCCCGAUGGGAAAAGCACAGGUCACAAUGCCACUUCUGAGAAAUAUAAUUGUAAAGAAAACAUACAUAAUUCUGACUCACACCUGUACUCUAAAAGAGGAGCCAAAAGUGUACCGAAUUCUGACUGCUGCUUCACCAACGGCGUGACACAAGAUGAACCUUUGAAUAAUUUGAUUGCAGUGGAUAAUUACGCUGGCAACCCUGACUUGGCAUCAAUAAUACUGAGCAACAAAGAGCCAGAGCUUUAUCGAAACGGAUGCACCCAGAGGAUUCGAGCUUUUGAGCGGAAUCAAGUAUCUGGGAAAGAGUUCUCUAUACAAAUCCAUGACCAGGUCUCAGACAUAAAGAGUGAAACAAUGAUGUGUGAGAAUGGAAAACCUGAAAGGUCUCACACCAAAGAUUUUGCUAUGGUGAAGAAACCAGUGUGUCGUAGGAAACGAAGAGUGCAUUGUAAAAAGCAUAUUAUGAAGUCCACAGAAUGUGGUUAUCAUGACAUGCGACAUUGUAGAUCCCUGGAGAGUAGUCAUUCUAAGUUUUCUAUGGCGGCCAAUGACCAUAUGUCAAACAUAAAGAAUGAACCAAACAUGUGCGAGAAUAAAAAAGCUGAAAGGCCCUGGGCCAUAGAUUUUGGUAUGGCAGAAAAAAUAGUAAGAAGAAAGAUGCGGCAUCAAAAACGCAUGAGGCCUGCUAAAUGUAUUACUUAUCAUGACAUGCAACAUUAUGGAUUGCUAGGUAGUAAUCAUUCCAAGGUUGGAGAAAAUGACAAGGAUAGAUCUGCUGGUAAUUCACAGAGGCCUAGCGGUGAAGCACCUCUAAAGACACUGGAUUCUUGUUCACCUCAGAUGUCUGGAGAAAAUCAGGAAACAACAAAAGAUCAAAAGACUAAGUUGAACAAAUUUUCCAAUCAUAGAAUCUCAGGGCUUUUAGAUGGCAAUAGAAUAAUGACAAGGAGAUCUGUUCUGAAACUAUGCAAUACUUGUGAAGAUCAUACUGGUGGAAGCCAUACUUCUGGUAGUGGAGCCACUUUUCAAGAAAAUAGUCUAAAGGAAUCUUUGGUACUAGGUACAAGUGAGGUGAUUGAUGAUGCAGUUUCAGAUGCUGUUAAAAAUGGCACACUGCUACAUGAGAUAAUGUUGUCAAAAGAAGAUGAUAAAUUAGCAGAAGAUUUGGGCACUUCUAUAACAAAAGAGGGUCACGAUGAUUGUAAAGAUGAACCUUGCAAGCCAUGUGGACCUGCUGCUGUAGAUCGAAGUGACAAAAUCCUCAAAUAUACCUUUCAGAGGAAGCGGAAGAGGGUUUCUAUAGAUAGCAAAGUUGACUCUACAACUUUAGAGGGAAGCAUGUCCAAGCAAAGAGUGGAGAAAGAUAAUGCUGUGCUGGACCCUCAGAAAUCUAGCUUACUAGUGGAAUCAUCCAGAGAGAGUAGGAGACUGGCACAGGUUGCUCGACAGUUAUGUAGGUGAAUGCAUUAUGACUAGAGGUGCCAUGACAAUUUCAUGUACUGGUGUAAACAAAGCUGAAAAUGACCUGAUACGGGGAUCAUGUUCAGGCCUAGUUCAUCUAUUUCGGAGAUUGAAGAAAUGGUUGAUGUUUUAUGGAGGUAGCUAGAACAGAAUCCAAGGACACAAGGGUGAGAAGAGGUGCAUGCAUGGGCAUUGAGAUGGAAGAUGAAGAUGGUAUGGCAUGGUGGCUACAAUGUGAAGAGAAGUGCGAUUACAAGGCAUGACAGAGAAGGCUAAAGAGAGAGAGAACUAUGGCCAAGUACCAGAGAAGUCUUAGGGUUUCAAAUCAUAUCUCAUAUUAUAUAUACUACUAUGUUAUCUCAGUUUUUAGAUAAAAAUAAAUGGCUAAAAUUAGAGAGCUCGAGUUUUAUACAACAACAAUAGGAUAUGAUGUCCCACCAAAAGACUCAAGCUAUAUUAUGCAAGGUUUAAAUCUUGAGUCAGUGUCGAUACUAGUUGGUGGCUGGACUAGUAUGGUACCAGUUUAUCUCAUCAUAACGAUUCUUGGUACAGGUUGGUAUAUCACAAGCCCAACAGAAGAGGAGGUAGAGGAGCAAGAGGAACAUGAAAAGAAGAUAAAGUAGAGGAAGACAAGGGGGGAGAGAGGCGUGCCUUAUGCUGGAGAGGAGGCAGCGACCCUUACAAGGAGGAGAAAGUGGUGGUGGUGGCAACCCUUACAAGGAGGAGAAAGUGGCGAGUGACAAGUUGGAGGCAGCAGUGGCAAAUUGGUGGGGAGGAAGAGGCGGAGGGGAGAGAGAUAUGAUGCAUGAGAGAAAGAAAGAGAAUGUGCAACGAUAAAAAGAAAGGGAAAAGAAAUGAAAAAGAAAAGACAGCUGUCAAGCUAUUGAAAGAAAAAAAGAAAAAGGAAACCGAAUGGUAGGCUUACAAUUUGGUACACCCUGUUUCGAUUGAAAUAAGAGGAUGUUACAUCUGAGACGCUGAUUAUAUCAAGCUGUAAGCCUGGUAUGAAAUGGUACCAGACAAAAAUUUGUGGUCCACAUACCAAUUCACUGUUAGAAUGUUAAAUACUGGUCUGUACCUACCAGUACACUUGAUUUUUAACACCAUGAUGUUAUGUAACAUCUAUAGUAAGCAUAGGUGGACUUGCAAGAUCUUAAAGAAGGUGAGUUUUUCUUAACAAGCUGUACGCAAGAGUUAGCAAACAACACACUAUUUCAACGGAAGCUCAUAUGUCUUGCAAACAAGCCAAAUGACGAGCCAACCAUGUUCAGUUAGCAAACAUUGCAUUAGGCUUACUGCCCUUCAACCAUGUUUCUGUCUGUCAUGGCUAAGUGUUACAUUGGCCUUUCACCUAAAAUUUUGCAUUUCUACAGGCUUUACAGUGUCUAUGGAAAAGACACUAGUGAAGAAUUAAAUCUAGGCAUAGGGAACUCUAUAUUAUAUUAUGCCACUAAUGAUGAAUCAAAUUUCAAUUGGAUUCUGUAGUUAUUCAAAUAAAUCUAUACAUACAUAUAUAUAGAUAAAUGUCAUCUUUUACUCAUUAAUUUCUACCCACAGAUUGGAAUGAUAGAGAACAAAAUUGACUUUGAGAUCUGAUGUUCCUUGAGAGUAUAUGCAGGCACCUUAAUUAAGUAAGCCUUUCCAUGGGAUUAUUUAUGAUUAUCCAAAAU